rnacentral:rRNA from 1 species
CCGUGAUGGAGCGCGGCCCGCGGACCAGGGAAAUCCGGUCCGCAUCAAGGGCGAGGCUCCGGACGAAGCGACUGAGCGAAGCGAGUGAGCCCGAGGUCCCUAGAAAAACCCCUAGGCAGGCGCGUGCGCGCCCGUACCGCAAACCGACACAGGUGGGUGGGUAGAACAUACCGAGGCGAUCGGGUCAACCAUGGUCAAGGAACUCGGCACAAUGGCCCCGUAACUUCGGGAGAAGGGGUGCCCGCGCGUACGUGAACCGGCUUGCCCGGGGAGCGGAGGCGGGCCGCAGUGGAGAGGCCCAAGCGACUGUUUACCAAAAACACAGGACUCUGCAGAAGCCGCAAGGCGACGUAUAGGGUCUGACGCCUGCCCGGUGCCGGAAGGUCACGCGGAGGAGUUAGCCGUUAAGGCGAAGCCCCGAAGCCAAGCCCCGGUAAACGGCGGCCGUAACUAUAACGGUCCUAAGGUAGCGAAAUUCCUUGUCGGGUAAGUUCCGACCUGCACGAAAGGCGCAACGACUUGGGCGCUGUCUCGACCAUGGACCCGGUGAAAUUGCACUGGUCGUGAAGAUGCGACUUACCCGCGGAAGGACGGAAAGACCCCGUGAACCUUCACUGCAGCUUGGCAUUGGCCGCUGGUCCCGCGUGUAGAGGAUAGGCAGGAGGCAUCGAUCCGGAGGCGCCAGCCCCCGGGGAGCCGCCCUUGGAAUACUGCCCUCGCGCGACCGGCGUCCUAACCCGAGGCCGUCAACCGGCUCGGGGACCGUGCCAGGCGGGCAGUUUGACUGGGGCGGUCGCCUCCUAAAGGGUAACGGAGGCGCGCGAAGGUCCGCUCGGGACGGUCGGCAACCGUCCUUUUGAAUGCAAGAGUACAAGCGGGCUUGACUGCGAGGCCCACAAGCCGAGCAGGUGCGAAAGCAGGCUCUAGUGAUCCGGCGGCCCCGAGUGGGUGGGCCGUCGCUCAACGGAUAAAAGGUACUCCGGGGAUAACAGGCUGAUCUUGCCCAAGAGUCCACAUCGACGGCAAGGUUUGGCACCUCGAUGUCGGCUCAUCGCAUCCUGGGGCU